rnacentral:rRNA from 1 species
UACGUAGGGUGCAAGCGUUAAUCGGAAUUACUGGGCGUAAAGCGUGCGCAGGCGGUUUUGCAAGACAGAUGUGAAAUCCCCGGGCUUAACCUGGGAACUGCCUUUGUGACUGCAUAGCUAGAGUACGGUAGAGGGGGAUGGAAUUCCGCGUGUAGCAGUGAAAUGCGUAGAUAUGCGGAGGAACACCGAUGGCGAAGGCAAUCCCCUGGACCUGUUCUGACGCUCAUGCACGAAAGCGUGGGGAGCAAACAGG